UCCAGGCCCAGGGGUGCAGUGGGGGCCCCCCAGCAUGGCCCGGGGGUGAUGUGGGGUGCAAGACCCAGCCCAGCUGCCUCUCCUGGGGGGCAGGAGCCUUCCCCAGGCCUGGGACAGCACUGGGGACACUGGGGGGGCGAGGCAGCCCCUGGCUCUCUCCCUGCUUCCUCCUGAACGGCACCCGGCGAAGGAAGCCGCCUCUUGAGUUCAUGCAUAAAAGAUCAAUGGAAAUGGUGUCGCCUGCUGAAGAUCGAUCCACCAGCAGGACGUGCGGUGGGAGGUCUGGAGCUGUGCGUAGGGGAGGGCCUCUUGGGACUCAGAGAGGG